GAUGAACGCUCGCUACAGGCUUAACACAUGCAAGUCGAGGGGAAACGGCAUUGAGUGCUUGCACUCUUUGGACGUCGACCGGCGCACGGGUGAGUAACGCGUAUCCAACCUUCCCAUUACUGUGGGAUAACCUGCCGAAAGGCAGACUAAUACCGCAUAGUCUUCGAUGACGGCAUCAGAUUUGAAGUAAAGAUUUAUCGGUAAUGGAUGGGGAUGCGUCUGAUUAGCUUGUUGGCGGGGUAACGGCCCACCAAGGCUACGAUCAGUAGGGGUUCUGAGAGGAAGGUCCCCCACAUUGGAACUGAGACACGGUCCAAACUCCUACGGGAGGCAGCAGUGAGGAAUAUUGGUCAAUGGACGGAAGUCUGAACCAGCCAAGUAGCGUGCAGGAUGACGGCCCUAUGGGUUGUAAACUGCUUUUGUAUGGGGAUAAAGUUAGGGACGUGUCCCUAUUUGCAGGUACCAGACGAAUAAGGACCGGCUAAUUCCGUG
rnacentral:rRNA from 1 species